UACGUAGGGAGCAAGCGUUGUCCGGAAUCAUUGGGCGUAAAGCGCGCGUAGGUGGCUUCGUAAGUCCGUUGUGAAAGUCAAAGGCUCAACCUUUGAAAGCCGAUGGAUACUGCGGAGCUAGAGUACGGAAGAGGCGAGUGGAAUUCCUGGUGUAGCGGUGGAAUGCGCAGAUAUCAGGAGGAACACCAAUAGCGAAGGCAGCUCGCUGGGACGUUACUGACACUGGAGGCGACGAAGGCGUGGGAGCGAACAGG
rnacentral:rRNA from 1 species